GGAGUGAAAAAGAACCUGAAACCGUGUACGUACAAGCAGUGGGAGCACACUUUGGGGUGUGACUGCGUACCUUUUGUAUAAUGGGUCAGCGACUUAUAUUCUGUAGCAAGGUUAACCGAAUAGGGGAGCCGGAGGGAAACCGAGUCUUAAUUGGGCGUUAAGUUGCAGGGUAUAGACCCGAAACCCGGUGAUCUAGCCAUGGGCAGGUUGAAGGUUGGGUAACACUAACUGGAGGACCGAACCGACUAAUGUUGAAAAAUUAGCGGAUGACCUGUGGCUGGGGGUGAAAGGCCAAUCAAACCGGGAGAUAGCUGGUUCUCCCCGAAAGCUAUUUAGGUAGCGCCUCGUGAAUUCAUCUCCGGGGGUAGAGCACUGUUUCGGCUAGGGGGCCAUCCCGGCUUACCAACCCGAUGCAAACUGCGAAUACCGGAGAAUGUUAUCACGGGAGACACACGGCGGGUGCUAACGUCCGUCGUGAAGAGGGAAACAACCCAGACCGCCAGCUAAGGUCCCAAAGUCAUGGUUAAGUGGGAAACGAUGUGGGAAGGCCCAGACAGCCAGGAUGUUGGCUUAGAAGCAGCCAUCAUUUAAAGAAAGCGUAAUAGCUCACUGGUCGAGUCGGCCUGCGCGGAAGAUGUAACGGGGCUAAACCAUGCACCGAAGCUGCGGCAGCGA
rnacentral:rRNA from 1 species